UACGUAGGGUGCAAGCGUUAUCCGGAAUUAUUGGGCGUAAAGAGCUCGUAGGCGGUUUGUUGCGUCGGCUGUGAAAUCCCGAGGCUCAACCUCGGGUCUGCAGUCGAUACGAGCAAACUAGAGUGUUGCAGGGGAGACUGGAAUUCCUGGUGUAGCGGUGAAAUGCGCAGAUAUCAGGAGGAACACCGGUGGCGAAGGCGGGUCCCUGGACAACACCUGACACUGAGGCACGAAAGCUAGGGGAGCAAACAGG
rnacentral:rRNA from 1 species